rnacentral:rRNA from 1 species
UACGUAGGGUGCGAGCGUUAAUCGGAAUUACUGGGCGUAAAGUGUGCGCAGGCGGCCGCGCAAGUCGAGUGUGAAAGCCCCGAGCUUAACUUGGGAAUUGCGCUCGAAACUACGUGGCUGGAGUGUGGCAGAGGAAGGUGGAACUCCAGGUGUAGCGGUGAAAUGCGUAGAGAUCUGGAGGAACACCGAUGGCGAAGGCAGCCUUCUGGGCCAACACUGACGCUCAUGCACGAAAGCGUGGGGAGCAAACAGG